rnacentral:lncRNA from 1 species
GUUUUGACAGACGCAGAGUGAUACGUAUCCACCAGUACAUCGUCAUUCAUAUUUUAAGGAGUCCACACUUGGGUGACAGCCCCUCGUCAGCUGCAGAAGUCCUGGCGGACACUGUGCUCCACAGACCUUUCUUUCCAGUGAUCCGAGGUCCGCAGGAAAGCCAGGCCCAUCGGGCUAACACAGGGCUUCGGGCUACUUGCCUCUGUGGGCGCUCAAACGGGAACCGGCGGGAUCCAGUCUUUCCCCCGCAGCAUCCCCCUGAACUCUCCGCAAGUGGAGAAAAACUCCACUUUGUAAGGUUCCAGGAAAAGAGCCUUUGGAAAUCCCCUGACCUCACCCCACCGCCCAGGAGCCAAUCGGACCCCAGACCAAAAUCUCCGGACUUAACGCUCAGGAACCUGUGGUCUACCUAGACAGCAGGGACCAAUCAAGAACCAACACACAACCCUUCGAAAGAAAGUGACCAAUCAGACGUCCCCCUACCUAGAAAUCCUUUUUUCCAUGUAUGCUCCCUAUAUAAGCAAUGUAAUCCAAGACCCGGGGCUCCUCCCUAUAGCGCUGCGUCGGUAUGGUGGGAGCCCCAGCUCGAGCUUGGUAAUAAAAGCUCUCUUGCUUUUGCAUCGGAUAUCGGCUCCCUGGUGGUCGUUGGGAGAUUUCGUGACUUGGG